rfam:Butyrivibrio crossotus CAG:259 genomic scaffold, scf58
UGAGAUUACUAAAUGAUCGCGGCCGUAUUUAUACGGGUGAGGAAAGUCCGGGCUUCGUAGGGCAGGAUGCCGGAUAACGUCCGGUGGAGGCGACUCCAAGGCUAGUGCAACAGAAAUAUACCGCCAGAAAUUCUGGUAAGGGUGGAAGGGCAGUUUAAGAGACUACCGCCUUUGUGGUAACACAGAGGGCAUAUGUAAACCCCAUCCGAAGCAAGACCAAACAGAAGCGAUGACGCGGCCCGCCAGCUUCAGGUAGGUUGCUUGAACCUGUCGGUAACGACAGGUCUAGAUAGAUGAUCAUUCACGACAUAACCCGGCUUAUAGGUUUUCUCAAUUA